CAGGUGCUGCAUGGCUGUCGUCAGCUCGCGUCGUGAGAUGUUGGGUUAAGUCCGUAACGAGCGCAACCCUUGUCCUUAGUUACCAGCACGUUAUGGUGGGCACUCUAAGGAGACUGCCGGUGACAAACCGGAGGAAGGUGGGGAUGACGUCAAGUCAUCAUGGCCCUUACGGCCUGGGCUACACACGUGCUACAAUGGUCGGUACAAAGGGUUGCCAAGCCGCGAGGUGGAGCUAAUCCCAUAAAACCGAUCGUAGUCCGGAUCGCAGUCUGCAACUCGACUGCGUGAAGUCGGAAUCGCUAGUAAUCGUGAAUCAGAAUGUCACGGUGAAUACGUUCCCGGGCCUU
rnacentral:rRNA from 1 species